rnacentral:rRNA from 1 species
AGGACGAACGCUGGCGGCGUGCUUAACACAUGCAAGUCGAGCGGUAAGGCCUUUCGGGGUACACGAGCGGCGAACGGGUGAGUAACACGUGGGUGAUCUGCCCUGCACUCUGGGAUAAGCCUGGGAAACUGGGUCUAAUACCGGAUAUGACCUGCUCUCGCAGUGGGGGUGGGUAGGAAAGAUUUAGUCGGUGCAGGAGUGGGCCCGCGGCCUAUCAGCUUGGUUGGUGGGUAAUGGCCUACCGAAGGCGACGACGGGUA